rnacentral:rRNA from 1 species
CCUACGGGUGGCUGCAGUGGGGAAUAUUGGACAAUGGGGGGAACCCUGAUCCAGCCAUGCCGCGUGUGUGAAGAAGGCCCUCGGGUUGUAAAGCACUUUCAGUGAGGAAGAACGCCUGGUGGUUAAUACCCAUCAGGAAAGACAUCACUCACAGAAGAAGCACCGGCUAACUCCGUGCCAGCAGCCGCGGUAAUACGGAGGGUGCGAGCGUUAAUCGGAAUUACUGGGCGUAAAGCGCGCGUAGGUGGCUUGAUAAGCCGGUUGUGAAAGCCCCGGGCUCAACCUGGGAACGGCAUCCGGAACUGUCAAGCUAGAGUGCAGGAGAGGAGGGUAGAAUUCCCGGUGUAGCGGUGAAAUGCGUAGAGAUCGGGAGGAAUACCAGUGGCGAAGGCGGCCUUCUGGACUGACACUGACACUGAGGUGCGAAAGCGUGGGUAGCAAACAGGAUUAGAUACCCGGGUAGUC